rnacentral:rRNA from 1 species
UACGUAGGUGGCGAGCGUUGUCCGGAUUUACUGGGCGUAAAGGGAGCGUUGGCGGACUUUUAAGUGAGAUGUGAAAUACUCGGGCUCAACUUGAGUGCUGCAUUUCAAACUGGAAGUCUAGAGUGCAGGAGAGGAGAAUGGAAUUCCUAGUGUAGCGGUGAAAUGCGUAGAGAUUAGGAAGAACACCAGUGGCGAAGGCGAUUCUCUGGACUGUAACUGACGCUGAGGCUCGAAAGCGUGGGGAGCAAACAGG